GACAGAGGGUGCAAACGUUGUUCGGAUUUACUGGGCCUAAAGCGUGUGUAGGCGGCUUCGCAAGUUGGAUGUGAAAUCCCACGGCUCAACCGUGGACGUGCAUCCAAAACUGCGUCGCUAGAGUCUCGGAGAGGAAGGUGGAAUGCUUGGUGUAGAGGUGAAAUUCGUAGAUAUCAAGCAGAACACCUGCGGCGAAGGCGGCCUUCUGGACGAUGACUGACGCUGAGACACGAAAGCGUGGGGAGCAAACAGG
rnacentral:rRNA from 1 species